rnacentral:rRNA from 1 species
CCUACGGGUGGCUGCAGUGAGGAAUAUUGCACAAUGGGGGAAACCCUGAUGCAGCGACGCCGCGUGAGUGAAGACGUAUUUCGGUAUGUAAAGCUCUAUCAGCAGGGAAGAAGAAAGACGGUACCUGACUAAGAAGCACCGGCUAACUACGUGCCAGCAGCCGCGGUAAUACGUAGGGGGCAAGCGUUAUCCGGAUUUACUGGGUGUAAAGGGAGCGUAGACGGCUGUGCAAGUCUGAAGUGAAAGCCCAGGGCUCAACCCUGGGACUGCUUGGGAAACUGUGGUGCUAGAGUGCUGGAGAGGGAAGGGGAAGUCGUAGUGUAGCGGUGAAAUGCGUAGAUAUUAGGAGGAACACCAGUGGCGAAGGCGGCUUACUGGACAGUAACUGACGUUGAGGCUCGAAAGCGGGGGGAGCAAACAGGAUUAGAUACCCUGGUAGUC